UACGGAGGUGGCAAGCGUUGCUCGGAUUUAUUGGGUGUAAAGGGUCGGUAGGCGGUUUGGUAAGUGCCUGAUGAAAUUCCACGGCUUAACCGUGGAGCGCUCGGGUAGACUGCCGGACUUGAGGACUGGAGGGGCAGACGGAAUUCCCGGUGUAAGAGUGAAAUCUGUAGAUAUCGGGAGGAACACCAGUGGCGAAGGCGGUCUGCUGGACAGUCCCUGACGCUGAGCGACGAAAGCGUGGGGAGCAAACAGG
rnacentral:rRNA from 1 species